rnacentral:rRNA from 1 species
GACGAACGCUGGCGGCGUGCUUAACACAUGCAAGUGGAACGGAAAGGCCCUGCUUUUGUGGGGUGCUCGAGUGGCGAACGGGUGAGUAACACGUGAGUAACCUGCCCUUGACUUUGGGAUAACUUCAGGAAACUGGGGCUAAUACCGGAUAGGAGCUCCUGCUGCAUGGUGGGGGUUGGAAAGUUUCGGCGGUUGGGGAUGGACUCGCGGCUUAUCAGCUUGUUGGUGGGGUAGUGGCUUACCAAGGCUUUGACGGGUAGCCGGCCUGAGAGGGUGACCGGCCACGUUGGGACUGAGAUACGGCCCAGACUCCUACGGGAGGCAGCAGUGGGGAAUAUUGCACAAUGGGCGGAAGCCAGAUGCAGCAACGCCGCGUGCGGGAUGACGGCCUUCGGGUUGUAAACCGCUUUCGCCUGUGACGAAGCGUGAGUGACGGUAAUGGGUAAAGAAGCACCGGCUAACUACGUG